rnacentral:tRNA from 1 species
GCCAGUGUGGUGGAAUUGGUAGACGCGUCGGACUCAAAAUCCGAUGAGGUAAUACUCGUGAGGGUUCGAGUCCCUCCACUGGCACCA